GGCACUUGACAUCCCUCCUCUCUCAAUGAAUUUUCUAACAGCUUUGCGAGAUCAGUGUUAACUAUCUUUACUCGGAUAAAGAAAACAAACCUCCAAGAGACUUUGGGACUUGCCUCUCAACUCACAGUGAGAACUGAUACUUUUGGGAUUUGAAUCCAAAAGAAAAAACAUGAAAGAUGUGAUCCAGCAAUUUCUCCAAUGAACAUUAUCUUCCAUCGUAGGCUGGACCCAAAUUCAAAACUUUAUGUCCACUGGUUUCCUUGUUUGAAAUAUUUUUGAGCACUUAAGAUAUCUAAGUCACACAGAUAGAAACUAAUCACUGGAGACAUGUAAUGCAUAAAAUAUGGAAAUAAUAGCUGCUUACAUUCAAGUAUAGGUUGUAUCAUCCAAAUGAAAGCCUAUCCAAAAAUGGCAUGUCAAACCAC